GCAUUAAGCACUCCGCUUGGGGAGUACGGUCGCAAGACUGAAACUCAAAGGAAUUGACGGGGGCCCGCACCAGCGGUGGAGCAUGUGGUUUAAUUCGAAGCAACGCGAAGAACCUUACCAGGUCUUGACAUCCUCUGACAACUCUAGAGAUAGAGCGUUCCCCUUCGGGGGACAGAGUGACAGGUGGUGCAUGGUUGUCGUCAGCUCGUGUCGUGAGAUGUUGGGUUAAGUCCCGCAACGAGCGCAACCCUUGAUCUUAGUUGCCAGCAUUUAGUUGGGCACUCUAAGGUGACCGCCGGUGACAAACCGGAGGAAGGUGGGGAUGACGUCAAAUCAUCAUGCCCCUUAUGACCUGGGCUACACACGUGCUACAAUGGAUGGUACAAAGGGCUGCAAGACCGCGAGGUCAAGCCAAUCCCAUAAAACCAUUCUCAGUUCGGAUUGUAGGCUGCAACUCGCCUACAUGAAGCUGGAAUCGCUAGUAAUCGCGGAUCAGCAUGCCGCGGUGAAUACGUUCCCG
rnacentral:rRNA from 1 species